CCGCCGUUUUACCUAUUUGUCCGCAUUCUCUCCAUGUUCUCCAAUGCUUUGGAUCUUCUUUCUUUAGAAAUUAUGGUUGGAUUGUGUAAUAUAGGUUCAAUGUGGAUGUGUAGUGAUCGAUCUGCGGGGAAUGAGGGCAGAAACUUUGAAUCCAACAUGAUAAUCUUUACCACCUUCAUUUAAAUUACAAAAGAAGGGAAAUUUUUUUGGGGGUGGCUGUUGAUGGAGUAAUCUUGGUCAAUUGGGUGGAUCUUAGAACUUCAGAUGCCUUGGUAGGUCGAGCUUGCUCAUCUUCCUUGGCCUUAGAGGUCUGGUUGGCCUCUUGAGCUUGAUUCUAUUGCAAGCCCUCAUGUCUAACUGAGAUAGUCCAGUCAUUCCCCUUCCAUUCAAUGGCUCUUCAAUUAAUAGUAAUUAGAUGGACAGCGUAAGUUCCUUAGAUGUCCAGAUUCGAGAAGUAAACAUUUCUUUGGCGACUAUCAUAUGGGGCUCCUUCAAUGUCUGCUGAACUUCUGCGGUCAUGAAAAUGCCGAUUUGAUCAUCCCAUUGACAAUCUACCGAACUCUGAUCUAGAUACAAUUGUAAUAGGUGCUUAGCUGAUGUGAACUUAUUUUUGAUGUCUUUUCAAUUUGCGUAUGUGAAAUAUGUUAUUGAUAUGUGAAAGCUCUAGUCCAUGUAAGAGUAGGUUGUACUUAGUCCAUUCAUGGAAAGGAGAUGGCAUUUUGCUGAGGAUUGGUAAGUCACAAAUAGUGCAUCGUCAACAUCCUUCUAAAAAGUGCUGCAAUAGAAACAAUUGUUUGUUGCUAGAUUAGGAAAAGGUUCAAUCCAUGGAUAACAUGUACAUACAGAAAAGUCAUUACAUAUACAAUUACAAAUACAUGCACGCACAAACAUGUCCAUCUAAAAAGCCAGUUACUUGGCUACCUAUCUAUCUUUUUUCGUACACAUAUAGAAUGGGGAUGAAUAUUUGGCACAAAUGCACAUGCACCCACACAAAGGCGCACAAGCAUGCAUGUUUGGUUGUGGGCACGCUCUCAUACACACGUGACCUUUUUAUAUCCUCCUUGUCAAGAGAGUUACAUAAGCUUUCAUAAUGCCUUUGUACUUGGACUCCGCUUAUUGUGGCUUUUUCCUUGUCUUCUUCUUCAUAGAAUAGUGCUUUUGUAAUCUUCUAGGAAGUCUUGUUCUGCCUACAAGUUGAAAGAAAUCACCGGUAGUGGGAUUUUUGCUGCCAAUGGGGAAGAUGAUUUAUUGGAGCCUGGAAGUGCCAACCCUGCUUCAAAUAACAAAACAGGAUUAAAGAUGUACCAGGUCCUCCACAAUAUUGCGGUCGCUGAAUACUUUCGUGAUGGCUGUUCAGAUCCAAGAAGAUUGCUUGAAGUACUUAAUAACGUCAAUGUGUGGCAGUCCUUCAAACACACUCUCUUUAGAAUAUGCGAUCUACUCUAAGCUAUUGAGUUUUCAAUCGGUCUUGAUAUGUUGUGUUGAACACAGUGGGAGUAGGCGAGAGGGAAACACUGAUAGUUGCUUCUAAAUUAUCAUCUAGACAUCAAUGAAGGAGGUGAAUUACUUUGAACUUUGUCAUUCGUGUGGCAAAUGUUGAUGAAUGUAUUUUAUUUAUUUAUCAUUAUAAUAUUUUGAUGUUA